GAUGAACGCUGGCGGCGUGCCUAAUACAUGCAAGUCGAGCGAACAGACGAGGAGCUUGCUCCUCUGACGUUAGCGGCGGACGGGUGAGUAACACGUGGAUAACCUACCUAUAAGACUGGGAUAACUUCGGGAAACCGGAGCUAAUACCGGAUAAUAUAUUGAACCGCAUGGUUCAAUAGUGAAAGACGGUUUUGCUGUCACUUAUAGAUGGAUCCGCGCCGCAUUAGCUAGUUGGUAAGGUAACGGCUUACCAAGGCAACGAUGCGUAGCCGACCCGAGAGGGUGAUCGGCCACACUGGAACUGAGACACGGUCCAGACUCCUACGGGAGGCAGCAGUAGGGAAUCUUCCGCAAUGGGCGAAAGCCUGACGGAGCAACGCCGCGUGAGUGAUGAAGGUCUUCGGAUCGUAAAACUCUGUUAUUAGGGAAGAACAAAUGUGUAAGUAACUAUGCACGUCUUGACGGUACCUAAUCAGAAAGCCACGGCUAACUACGUG
rnacentral:rRNA from 1 species